GAUUUCUGACUUGGUGCGUAUAGUCCGCUGACGUUAGUCAGUGUGUGCCGUGCGUACCGCGUCAUCCUUGUAGAGAUCUCACGUGCUCUUUAUUGGGACGCGUGGGCGAUCUACAUCUUUUACUUUGAAAAAAUUAGAGUGUUCAAAGCAGGCUUACGCUAUGAAUACAUUAGCAUGGAAUAAUAAUCUAGGACUUCUGUCCUAUUUUGUUGGUUUCUAGGAUGGAAGUAAUGAUUGAUAGGGAUAGUUGGGGGUGCUAGUAUUCAGCGGCCAGAGGUGAAAUUCUUGGAUUCGCUGAAGACUAACUUAUGCGAAAGCAUU
rnacentral:rRNA from 1 species